CGUGAAUUCAUCUCCGGGGGUAGAGCACUGUUUCGGCAAGGGGGUCAUCCCGACUUACCAACCCGAUGCAAACUGCGAAUACCGGAGAAUGUUAUCACGGGAGACACACGGCGGGUGCUAACGUCCGUCGUGAAGAGGGAAACAACCCAGACCGCCAGCUAAGGUCCCAAAGUCAUGGUUAAGUGGGAAACGAUGUGGGAAGGCCCAGACAGCCAGGAUGUUGGCUUAGAAGCAGCCAUCAUUUAAAGAAAGCGUAAUAGCUCACUGGUCGAGUCGGCCUGCGCGGAAGAUGUAACGGGGCUAAACCAUG
rnacentral:rRNA from 1 species